GUCUUGGUGAGGUGCCGCCAUUUCAUCCGUCCUCGGUCUCUGCGCCUUUCGCAGAGCUUCCAGCAGCGAAUUUGCCGUUUUCAGUGGAAAACAAGUGGUCCUUACUAGCUAAGAUGUGUUUGUACUUUGGAUCUGCAUUUGCUACACCCUUUCUUAUAGUAAGACACCAACUGCUUAAAACAUAAGGAUGUUUCAGUUCCUCCAUUUAACAGGUAGUUAAUGGAUUUCUAAUCAUCUUAAAGCAGGCCUUUUUAUUAAGUAGCCUCUUCCCCCUCACCCAGAACACACACACAAAUACAUUGUUGUGUAGGGCUGAUUCCUGAGGUUAUGUGUAGAUGUGGCAUUGGUGGAGACUAGUUGUAAACCUAUAUAAAAAUAUUUCAAUAAUGGCCAGUGUUUAUUGAAUACUACUGAUUAUCAGAUACACUUUACAUCGAUAUCUCAUGUUCUCUAGCAAGCUUGUGAGGCGGAUGAUAGUAACCCCAUCUGAGACACAAAGAUGUUAAGUUGUUCAAGAUCUCAUAACUAGUAUAAUUGUGGACCAGGACACUUGCCCAGGCAGUUUCUUGUUGCAGAGCUCACACUUUUAACCAGAUAUGAAGAGCAUUUUAAGAGGUGCAGCCUGAAGUGGAUCAAACUAGAACUCAUAUGCCAUACUAGAUAUGUUUGUCAAUAAACUUAUGACGUGAA
rnacentral:sRNA from 1 species